rnacentral:rRNA from 1 species
UACGGAGGAUGCAAGCGUUAUCCGGAAUGAUUGGGCGUAAAGGGUCCGCAGGUGGCAAUGUAAGUCUGCUGUCAAAGAAUGAGGCUUAACCUCAUCAAGGCAGUGGAAACUACAUAGCUAGAGUACGGUCGGGGUAGAAGGAAUUCCUGGUGUAGCGGUGAAAUGCGUAGAGAUCAGGAAGAACACCGGUGGCGAAAGCGCUCUGCUAGGCCGUAACUGACACUGAGGGACGAAAGCUAGGGGAGCGAAUGGG